GGGUUCGAUUAUGGCUCAGAUUGAACGCUGGCGGGAUGCUACACAUGCAGUCGAACGGCAGCACGGACUUCGGUCUGGUGGCGAGUGGCGAACGGGUGAGUAAUGUAUCGGAACGUGCCUAGUAGCGGGGGAUAACUACGCGAAAGCGUAGCUAAUACCGCAUACGCCCUUCGGGAAAGCGGGGGACCUUCGGGCCUCGCACUAUUAGAGCGGCCGAUAUCGGGUUGGCUAGUUGGUGGGGUAACGGCUCGCAAGGCGACGAUCCGUAGCUGGUUUGAGAGGACGACCGGCCACACUGGGACUGGGGCGGCCCAGACUCCUACGGGAGGCAGCAGUAGAGGAAUUUUGGACAAUGGAAACCCUGAUCCAGCCAUCCCGCGUGUGCGACAGAGGCCUUCAGGUUGUAAAGCACUUUUGGCAGGAAAGAAACGGCACGGGAUAAUACCCCGUGCAACUGACGAACACCUGCAGAAUAAGCACCGGCUAACUACGUGCCAACAGCCGCGGUAAUACGUAGGGUGCAAGCGUUAAUCGGAAUUACUGGGCGUAAAGCGUGCGCAGGCGGUUCAGAAGAAAGAUGCUGAAAUCCCAGAGCUUAACUUUGGAACUGCAUUUUUAACUACCGAGCUAGAGUGUGUCAGAGGGAGGUGGAAUUCCGCGUGUAGCAGUGAAAUGCGUAGAUAUGCGGAGGAACACCGAUGGCGAAGGCAACCUCCUGGGAUAACACUGACGCUCAUGCACGAAAAGCGUGGGGAACAAACAGGAUUGGAUACCCUGGUAGUCCACGCCCUAAACGAUGUCAACUAGCUGUUGGGGCCUUCGGGCCUUGGCAGCGCAGCUAACGCGUGAAGUUGACCGCCUGGGGAAAUACGGUCGCAAGAUUAAAACUCAAAGGAAUUGACGGGGACCCGCACAAGCGGUGGAUGAUGUGGAUUAAUUCGAUGCAACGCGAAAACCUUACCUACCCUUGACAUGUCUGGAAUCCCGAAGAAGAGAUUUGGGAGUGCUCGCAAGAGAACCGGAACACAGGUGCUGCAUAGCUGUCGUCCAGCUCGUGUCGUGAGAUGUUGGGUUAAGUCCCGCAACGAGCGCAACCCUUGUCAUUAGUUGCUACGAAGGGCACUCUAAUGAGACUGCCGGUGACAAACCGGAGGAAGGUGGGGAUGACGUCAAGUCCUCAUGGCCCUUAUGGAUAGGGCUUCACACGUCAUACAAUGGUCGGGACAGAGGGUCGCCAGCCCGCGAGGGGGAGCCAAUCCCGAAGGCGAUCGUAGUCCGGAUCGCAGUCUGCAACUCGACUGCGUGGAAAGUCGGAAUCGCUAGUAAUCGCGGAUCAGCAUGUCGCGGUGAAUACGUUCCCGGGUCUUGUACACACCGCCCGUCACACCAUGGGAGUGGGUUUUACCAGAAGUAGUUAGCCUAACCGUAAGGGGGCGAUUACCACGGUAGGAUUCAUGACUGGGGCCGUCGUAACAAGGUAG
rnacentral:rRNA from 1 species